AUGGGCGUGGACGGCGUGGAGCUGCAGGUGUUCUGGUCCGUGGUGCAGCCGGAGUCGCCGGACAAGUUCUCGUGGGCCGGGUACCGCGCCGUGGCCGAUAUUGCCCGCGACGAGGGCCUCAGCCUCCGCGUCUCCUCCGCGUCUCCCUCCGCAUCCACGGUUCGCCGGGCGGCAGCGCCCCCAAGCUCCCGUCCUGGGUCGGCGCCGCCGCCGCCAAGGACCGCGACAUCCUCUUCACCGACGGCGCCGGCGGGCGCCACGAGGACUGCCUCUCCUUCGCCGUCGACGAGCUCCCCGUGCUCGCCGGAAUGCCCACCUCCAGCGCUACGAGGCCUUCUUCCGCAGCUUCGUCGACGCCUUCGAUAA
rnacentral:rRNA from 1 species